AGUGAACGCUGGCGGUAGGCCUAACACAUGCAAGUCGAACGGCAGCACAGGAGAGCUUGCUCUCUGGGUGGCGAGUGGCGGACGGGUGAGGAAUACAUCGGAAUCUACCUUUUCGUGGGGGAUAACGUAGGGAAACUUACGCUAAUACCGCAUACGACCUACGGGUGAAAGUGGGGGACCGCAAGGCCUCACGCGAUUAGAUGAGCCGAUGUCGGAUUAGCUAGUUGGCGGGGUAAUGGCGACCAGGGCGACAAUCGGUAGCUGGUCUGAGAUGAUGAUCAGACACACUGGACCUGAGACACGGUCCAGACUCCUACGGGAGGGAGCAGUGGGGAAUAUUGGACAAUGGGCGCAAGACUGAUCCAGCCAUACCGCGUAGGUGCAGAAGGCCUUCGGGUUGUAAAGCCCUUUUGUUGGGAAAGAAAUCCUGUCGAAUAAUACUCGGUGGGGAUGACGGUACCCAAAGAAUAAGCACCGGCUAACUUCGUGCCAGCAGCCGCGGUAACAC
rnacentral:rRNA from 1 species